GAUGUAGCAAUACAUUGGUGGCGACCGGCGCACGGGUGAGUAACGCGUAUGCAACCUACCUAUCAGAGGGGAAUAACCCGGCGAAAGUCGGACUAAUACCGCAUAAAACAGGGGUUCCACAUGGAAAUAUUUGUUAAAGAAUUAUCGCUGAUAGAUGGGCAUGCGUUCCAUUAGAUAGUUGGUGAGGUAACGGCUCACCAAGUCCACGAUGGAUAGGGGUUCUGAGAGGAAGGUCCCCCACACUGGUACUGAGACAUGGACCAGACUCCUACGGGAGGCAGCAGUGAGGAAUAUUGGUCAAUGGGCGAGAGCCUGAACCAGCCAAGUCGCGUGAAGGAUGAAGGAUCUAUGGUUUGUAAACUUCUUUUAUAUGGGAAUAAAGUGAGGAACGUGUUCCUUUUUGUAUGUACCAUAUGAAUAAGCAUCGGCUAACUCCGUGCCAGCAGCCGCGGUAAUACGGAGGAUGCGAGCGUUAUCCGGAUUUAUUGGGUUUAAAGGGUGCGUAGGUGGUUAAUUAAGUCAGCGGUGAAAGUUUGUGGCUCAACCAUAAAAUUGCCGUUGAAACUGGUUGACUUGAGUAUAUUUGAGGUAGGCGGAAUGCGUGGUGUAGCGGUGAAAUGCAUAGAUAUCACGCAGAACUCCGAUUGCGAAGGCAGCUUACUAAACUAUAACUGACACUGAAGCACGAAAGCGUGGGGAUCAAACAGGAUUAGAUACCCUGGUAGUCCACGCAGUAAACGAUGAUUACUAGCUGUUUGCGAUACACAGUAAGCGGCGCAGCGAAAGCGUUAAGUAAUCCACCUGGGGAGUACGCCGGCAACGGUGAAACUCAAAGGAAUUGACGGGGGCCCGCAC
rnacentral:rRNA from 1 species